rnacentral:rRNA from 1 species
UAGGGAAUCUUCGGCAAUGGACGAAAGUCUGACCGAGCAACGCCGCGUGAGUGAAGAAGGUUUUCGGAUCGUAAAACUCUGUUGUUAGAGAAGAACAAGGACGUUAGUAACUGAACGUCCCCUGACGGUAUCUAACCAGAAAGCCACGGCUAACUACUUGCCAGCAGCCGCGGUAAUACGCAGGUGGCACGCGUUGUCCGGAUUUAUUGGGCGUAAAGCGAGCGCAGGCGGUUUCUUAAGUCUGAUGUGAAAGCCCCCAGCUCAACCGGGGAGGGUCAUUGGAAACUGGGAGACUUGAGUGCGGAGGAGGGGAGUGGAAUUCGAUGUGUAGCGGUGAAAUGAGUAGAUAUAUGGAGGAACACCAGUGGCGAAGGCGGCUCUCUGGUCUGUAACUGACGCUGAGGCUCGAAAGCGUGGGGGGCAAACAGG